CCUACGGGAGGCAGCAGUGAGGAAUAUUGGUCAAUGGCCGGAAGGCUGAACCAGCCAUGCCGCGUGAAGGUCAGUGCCCUAUGGGCGUUAAACUUCUUUUGUGCGGGAGCAAUAAUGGUCACGUGUGGCCAGACGAGAGUACCGUACGAAUAAGCAUCGGCUAACUCCGUGCCAGCAGCCGCGGUAAUACGGGGGAUGCAAGCGUUAUCCGGAUUUAUUGGGUUUAAAGGGUGCGUAGGCUGUGAGGUAAGUCAGCGGUGAAAUGCCCCCGCUCAACGGGGUGAAGUGCCAUUGAUACUGGCUGGCUGGAAUGCGGAUGACGUGGGAGGAAUGUGUGGUGUAGCGGUGAAAUGCAUAGAUAUCACACAGAACCCCGAUUGCGAAGGCAUCUCACGAAUCCGCGAUUGACGCUGAUGCACGAAAGCGUGGGUAUCAAACAGGAUUAGAUACCCGAGUAGUC
rnacentral:rRNA from 1 species